UGAGCAGAAGGUGUGUUCUGACUCCUCAAUGCUGCUCUUCUUCACAUUUGACAGGGUGUUUGCGUUCCAAUAGAUUGACCAUCCACAGACAAAACACCAGCUUUUUAAUGAUUUUUGUGUAUUUAUCGAAUGAUUUUUUUGGGGGGGUGGGAUUUCCAUGUUUCACCGUAAAGCUUAUUCUUCAAUCUCAGGUGGUGCGACGACGGCGUUUUCUUUCCCAUCGCACUGCUGCACACGCCGCUGGGAACCGUGGCUGAAAUUCACACAAGGGAUUUCAGUCAUUGUUUCUGGUAGUGGGCGCAGCAGAUGUUCAGCUGAAAUGGCGAGUUGCUUUUGAGAGAAUGACGUCACACUAUCAUCAUGUCUUGACGAACGAGGAAACUAAAUGGCACCCUGUAUUGAUGUAUUAGUGUUAUUUCGAAUGAUAAUGGUUGUUGUUUUGUUGUAUUAUUGUUUUUAUUCAAUUAUGGCUAAGAAGGUUGAAUAAAUUUGAAAGUCGGU